CCUACGGGUGGCAGCAGUGGGGGAUAUUGCACAAUGGGGGGAACCCUGAUGCAGCGACGCCGCGUGGGUGAAGGAGCGUUUCGGCGCGUAAAGUCCUAUCGGCAGGGAAGAUGAUGACGGUAUCUGACCAAGAAGCACCGGCUAACUACGUGCCAGCAGCCGCGGUAAUACGGAGGGGGCAAGCGUUACACGGAAUCACUGGGCGUAAAGGGGGCGCAGACGGCAAUGCAAGCCAGGUGUGAAAGCCCGGGGCCCAACCCCGGGACUGCACUUGGAACUGCAUGGCUGGAGUACAGGAGGGGCAGGCGGAAUUCCUGGUGUAGCGGUGAAAUGCGUAGAGAUUAAGAGGAACACUGGUGGCGAAGGCGACCUGCUAGACUAUAACUGACGUUGAGGCCCGAAGGCGUGGGGAGCAAACAGGAUUAGAUACCCGUGUAGUC
rnacentral:rRNA from 1 species